rnacentral:rRNA from 1 species
AACCAGCACCUCAAGUGGUCAGGAUGAUUAUUGGGCCUAAAGCAUCCGUAGCCUGUUCUGUAAGUUUUCGGUUAAAUCUAUUCGCUCAACGUAUAGGCUGCCGAAAAUACUGCAGAACUAGGGAGUGGGAGAGGUAGACGGUACUCGGUAGGAAGGGGUAAAAUCCUUUGAUCUAUUGAUGACCACCUGUGGCGAAGGCGGUCUACCAGAACACGUUCGACGGUGAGGGAUGAAAGCUGGGGGAGCAAACCGG